rnacentral:rRNA from 1 species
GUAACGCGUGGGAACCUGCCCUCAGGUUCGGAAUAACCAUUGGAAACGAUGGCUAAUACCGGAUGAUGACGUUAAGUCCAAAGAUUUAUCGCCUGAGGAUGAGCCCGCGUAGGAUUAGCUAGUUGGUGUGGUAAAGGCGCACCAAGGCGACGAUCCUUAGCUGGUCUGAGAGGAUGAUCAGCCAUACUGGGACUGAGACACGGCCCAGACUCCUACGGGAGGCAGCAGUGGGGAAUAUUGGACAAUGGGCGCAAGCCUGAUCCAGCAAUGCCGCGUGAGUGAUGAAGGCCUUAGGGUUGUAAAGCUCUUUUACCCGGGAUGAUAAUGACAGUACCGGGAGAAUAAGCUCCGGCUAACUCCGUGCCAGCAGCCGCGGUAAUACGGAGGGAGCUAGCGUUGUUCGGAAUUACUGGGCGUAAAGCGCACGUAGGCGGCUUUGUAAGUUAGAGGUGAAAGCCUGGAGCUCAACUCCAGAAUUGCCUUUAAGACUGCAUCGCUUGAAUCCAGGAGAGGUGAGUGGAAUUCCGAGUGUAGAGGUGAAAUUCGUAGAUAUUCGGAAGAACACCAGUGGCGAAG